UAGUUCAAAAUCAGUAUUUAUGACAUUGUUCUGCAUCGUUAUGUUGUCCUAUUAUGCUAUUAUGGUAUUGUGAAAUUUGUUUGCUUGUUUCUUCCCAAUUAUUGACUUGACGAUGGAGGGGCCUUUGGCCGUGCAAUGAACAAACCAUUAUAAAUAUCAAAGAAUUUUUAAAACUAACUAUUCAUUAUAUAAUAAUUUAUUACAUAUAUAGUUAAAAAAAAAUAGGAUAGCAGAAAGAUGAAGAACUACUCUUCAUCCGAUGAAAACUCUCCAACCUCCUCAUCA
rnacentral:lncRNA from 1 species